rnacentral:tRNA from 1 species
UGAGAUGUAGCAUAAUUUAAUGCUUUUCACUUACACUGAAAAUAUACUUAAACAUUAAGUCAUUUCAA